rnacentral:tRNA from 1 species
GGGCGUCUGGUGUAGUUGGUUAUCCACAUGCGCUUUAGCAUGCGCGCGGGUCCCCCGGUUCGAUUCCGGUCCGUCCA